AACAGAAUGGCUGAAAAAACAUAGCAGUGAAUUGUAAAUUCACCUAUAAAGGUGAAAAUCCUUUUUCUGUUA
rnacentral:tRNA from 1 species